UUGGUUCCAAUGAUAAUUGGUGGCUGGUUGCCAGAUUUUUGCUUAUGAUUAGAGUCAUUUUUACAACUUUUAUUGAACUGUUCAAGUCCCUCCUUACACUAUGUUUUAUGCGGGAUACUAAAACUCCUCUCAUGGGUAAACCUGGAGAUCGAAAUGGACCUAGAAAGAUUAUCCAUCGGAUAGUAAGCUUUGAUGAUGUCAAGUUCGUGAAGAACACAAUGAAAAUGGUAGAUAUAUUAGUACUUUUUAUCAGUUCUACUUGUCUUGAUCAUUAGUCGUUUUCUAAACAAAUUAUGCCUCAUUGUAGAAAGUCAAUGAUGUUCUUCUUGGAAUAACACAGGCAGGUCUCUCAAGAUAUUUAAGAAAAAAAUAUGGUAAUUUCAGACUCAUUCUUUCAUUAUAGUGCUAUUGGCCUUAUAUAAUCAACAUGUUACAAUGUUACCCAAGUAUCUGUAUGUUAAACAGAUGUAAAGCCUGAGAAAUAAAAGAGUGAAUAUAUGAUCCAAUGUAUAUUGAUACUACACUAUUAGUUUUUUUUGUAAUAUAUCAUUAACAAUAAUCUUUAAUAUUUUAAAAACAAGGUGACGAUCCAGUGACUGAGAAGAAAAAAUCCUUAGAGGAAACACGUCUCCGGGGUACAAUAGCUGUAAAUCUAAGACCAGAAACAAAGAUCAAGGUAAAAUAAGUAUUACAACGAUCUUAUAGUUGCAUCUUACAAAACGAUAUGUUUUACGAUAAUUAGAGUGCAAUAACUUGAUAAAAUUAAAUAUGAAACUGUAGGAUCUUGCUGAUAUGAUGACAAAAGGUUCAAAAUGUAGAUGGGGUAAUUUCAUAGGUGUUGUUAUAUUUCCUUUAUGGAUAAGAUCUGAGGAUGAUCCAUUGGAAUACGUCCGGAGAGCCAAAGCUACUAUGGAUAAGAAAAAAAUCUCCAUGGAAGCACUUGUGUUAUAUGGAUUCAUCAAAUUUACAAUGAAAAUAUUUGGCGUAAAGGUAAAAUAUCAAGCUAUUUCAUCCAUAUAUGUAUACUUUAUGUAAGUAAAAAGAAUGUACAACUUUUAAUGACAGGCCGUAGAAGCUAUCACUAAGAGGGUAUUUAGCCAUACAACGCUGACAUUUUCUAAUGUGUUGGGUCCAAACGAAGAUAUAAGUUUCUUUGAACAUCCCAUGUGUUACGUCGGAGCAAGCGCAUUGAUUGGACCACAAGUAAGUAUAAGUCUAUAAUCAUGUCAUUCUAGUACUUGCAUAUUAAAUCUGUUUUUUUUCCUUUCUGAAAUCAUAUACAAGUACUUGCUGACAUUUAAUAAAUGUGUUUACGUUUGUGGUUGGACUAGGCUCUUAUCAUCCAUUAUGUAAGCUACGCAGACAAGAUUAUCAUCAAUCUAGCUGUCGAUACAACAGUGAUUCCAGACCCUCAUGUACUAUGUGAUAAUUUGGUAGAGUCGCUUGAAAUCAUCAAACUUUCUCUCUUGGAGAAAGGACUUCAUAAAAUGGAGGUUUGAGACGUUCACGCGAUAUAAAAAUGGAAGUCUACGUUAAAAAGAUAACAUGUGGUGAAAUGUACUAUGUUAGCUUUUGUAUUUGUUAUGAUGUUGUGUUUAUUAUAUUAUAUAUAUACAUAUUCUACUUUGGUAGUAUAAACUUUUUAUUUGUAUACGAAAAAAGCAGACAUGUAGCAUUUACACAAGACGACCAAACGUAGACCACAAGCACCACUAACAUAUAUAUUUACAUAAUCAAUACCUAUUUUCAUCAGCAAACAGAAUUCGAUUCCCUUUUGCCUUGGAAUUAAAGGAACUGUUCAAGGGCUUGUGUACCAUUGCUGUUCAAGAGCUUCAUCAUGAAGUUAAACCUGGUGUCUGGAGAUGUCUUUGGUUGUGGCCAAUUUGCUCCUUCAGGGAUCUUGAUGCAUCUGUAACUUUGAUCUUUAUAAAGUUUCGUGGCCUCCGUAUAGCUCGACAUCCCCAGUUCGUGGCUUAACCCUCUGCUUUCCAGAUCAGUACUCUCGUAUCUGGAGAUGCCUUUGGUUGUGGCCAAUUUACUAACUGUCACAGCGACUAAACAUAUCCCUCUGGUAGGCACCCUGGUGGAACGGAGAAACCCAUUAUCAUCGCCAUCAACCUAUCAACUCUGAGGACAAGAUCAAGAGGGAACGAAUGUCCAGGGAAGAAGGAGGUGCAAUGUGUUUCUGCCACUUCCCACCAGUCCUCCACUCUAUCUUCCCGGACAACAAUUUCAGGUGAAACCACUGGGAAAAGAUCAAGUACAAACCUAAAAGAAAAGAACAACUUUAUCGUCUACUGACGAAUCAAAUCAUGUCGUAUGUUAAAGGAUGGGAGCUUUCAUGGAUCAUCAAUUACGACUAGAAGCGAUCUCUUCGAAUGAGACUCCCCCUUCCAUCUAUCAGUCAAAUUCUGUCUGUCCUCAGAACUUACAUGACUCUACUCUCCAGACAUAAAAAACAGUUUUGUUUGCUAUCCUGAUGUAUCUUGGGUAGAUAAUUAGCACUCUGCAGGCAUAGUCUGGGGCUUUAAAAGACUCCUGUAAUAAAAUCCUGCUUCAGGGAUCAGCUUCAACUGAUGCUACAGAUACAGUUUCAAUUUUGUUGGUGUAAGGUAAUGUUUUGUGGAAACUGCUCAGCUCUUUUUGUGGAGACUGUUCAGAAGCUGAUAGACUUGCAACUCAAGCUAGAACAGGAAAAUAACCAUAUGUUGUAAAGUGGAUCACAUAAAUAUUUGUCUGAGUCUGUUUGUACAACACUUAUAUAAGUUUCUCUAUAAAUAAUAAUAAUAUUUAAGGUUUAACUAUAAUUAGAAUUGUAACUCGAUCAAAAUCAAAGCCCGUGAAAUCUAACUCGUUGUUCUCUAGAACUCAGUCUAGUAGCAGCUAACGGAGAGUCAUAGAUCAUAAUGCCUUAGGUCAAACCUGAUUUGCUAGACGGAGUUUGAGAAACAGAAACCGUCGGCGAGAGAAGCCAUGACGGUUUUGCUUGAUCAAAGCUGAUGGGGAUAGCUCCGUCGUCCCCAUUCCCCAACGGCGUGCUCUGCAUUUCUCACCGCACUAUUACGGAGAUGGCAACAACAAAACCGGACGGUUCAACCGGUUCAAUUCGUUAGUAAGAAUCUUGAAAAAAUUACAAUAUGACAUACUUUUUCGUUCUCUACUAGGUGAUUUUCCAGUGAUUAUGCAUGGAUAUAAAUAUUUUUAAAGUAAAUAUAUUAUAAUAAUUGAUUGUUAAUUACUUUUAAUUUUAAAUUAAUUUAUAAUUGAGUAUUUGCAUGCUAUAUACAAGAAAAACUAUUUAAUUAGCUAACCGGUAUAUGCGACUGUUUAGUACUGUUAUUUUUUCGUUAUUUCCAAUUGUAUCCCUCUAUUAUAGCCACUGCACAAUAUUAUUUCUCGCAUUUAGGACAACACACAAUCAUCUCUUUCCUCUUUGAUUCAUCACCGUAAAUAAACAAAGACAACACACAGAAAAAAUAAAUCAUUGAUAACUUAAGACACGAGUUGGUGUACAUUUUCUAAUCGUGAGAUGAUCAAUGGCAGAGAGAUGCUUAUUAAUUCCAGUAAAGUUGCAGCACACCAAGAAUCAUUUGACAGAGAAGCCAUGUCUUGUGAUCCUAGCUUGAGUGGCUUAGGUUCAGAUAGCUUACAAGUUAAGUAAAUAAAUCGCCUAAAAUAGAAAUAAGAAUCCUCACUUCUUUUUUUUAACGCUGAUAAGAAUCUUCACGUUAUCUUCUAAUCCUGUAUAUUAAAAGAUAAACAUUAUAACAUUUAAGGUAGUCAUGUGUCAUCACCACAAUGAGUCUUAAAAUCUUUAGAAAAAUAUAUUGGUUCAUCUAAAUAUAUAAUAAGUUUUUUAUUAAACUAACCAUAAAUUCAUUAUUAAUGUCUUUCACUUUUUCUUUAAAUAAAAACUACGGAAUUACCAAAUGUAGCUAAAGUAUAUAUAUGAAAAUUAAUGAUUUUGAAUAAUAAAUAUUUGAUAAAAGUUAGUGUAUUCUCUAUCAUAUUUGUUUAAUUUUAAAUUAAUAAAAUAAAUUAAACAACUACAUUAACCAUAUAAUAAAAUUUAUAUUUUUCUUUAUAUGUUAUAUUUGAUUUUUUAAACGAUUAUAAAUUACUACUCUCUUUUAUCUAUUUAUUUAUUUAAUAAACUAUGCGUAAUCAUCUAUUUGAUCAUAAAUAAAUGUUUCAGGUGAUGGACGAUAAGAAAAAUGGAGAAGCGGUUUGGGUUCCUGUUAAUGUUCGAGUAGAAGAUCAUGUUUUUGUUCCGGACAUUGAUCAUUCUGACAUUACAAACCCUGAUCAAUUUAUAGAAGACUAUACGUCAAACAUAGCUAACACUCUAAUGGACAUGUCCAGACCUUUAUGGGAAUUUCAUGUACUGAAUAUAAAGACAUCAAACGCAGAAUCUUUAGGUAUAGGGAAGUUCCAUCAUUCACUUGGCGAUGGGAUGUCUCUUAUGUCUCUUCUAUAUGCUAGUUCAAGAAAAAUAUCAGACCCCAACGCUCUACCUACUACUGCGACUACAAGAAAACAAGUUGGUUCCAAUGAUAAUUGGUGGCUGGUUGCCAGAUUUUGGCUUAUGAUUAGAGUCAUUUUUACAACUUUUAUUGAACUGUUCAAGUCCCUCCUUACACUAUGUUUUAUGCGGGAUACUAAAACUCCUCUCAUGGGUAAACCUGGAGAUCGAAAUGGACCUAGAAAGAUUAUCCAUCGGAUAGUAAGCUUUGAUGAUGUCAAGUUCGUGAAGAACACAAUGAAAAUGGUAGAUAUAUUAGUACUUUUUAUCAGUUCUACUUGUCUUGAUCAUUAGUCGUUUUCUAAACAA
rnacentral:lncRNA from 1 species